GACGAACGCUGUUGGCGUGCUUAACACAUGCAAGUCGAACGGAAAGGCCCUGCUUUUGUGGGGUGCUCGAGUGGCGAACGGGUGAGUAACACGUGAGUAACCUGCCCUUGACUUUGGGAUAACUUCAGGAAACUGGGGCUAAUACCGGAUAGGAGCUCCUGCUGCAUGGUGGGGGUUGGAAAGUUUCGGCGGUUGGGGAUGGACUCGCGGCUUAUCAGCUUGUUGGUGGGGUAGUGGCUUACCAAGGCUUUGACGGGUAGCCGGCCUGAGAGGGUGACCGGCCACAUUGGGACUGAGAUACGGCCCAGACUCCUACGGGAGGCAGCAGUGGGGAAUAUUGCACAAUGGGCGGAAGCCUGAUGCAGCAACGCCGCGUGCGGGAUGACGGCCUUCGGGUUGUAAACCGCUUUCGCCUGUGACGAAGCGUGAGUGACGGUAAUGGGUAAAGAAGCACCGGCUAACUACGUGCCAGCAGCCGCGGUGAUACGUAGGGUGCGAGCGUUGUCCGGAUUUAUUGGGCGUAAAGGGCUCGUAGGUGGUUGAUCGCGUCGGAAGUGUAAUCUUGGGGCUUAACCCCUGAGCGUGCUUUCGAUACGGGUUGACUUGAGGAAGGUAGGGGAGAAUGGAAUUCCUGGUGGAGCGGUGGAAUGCGCAGAUAUCAGGAGGAACACCAGUGGCGAAGGCGGUUCUCUGGGCCUUUCCUGACGCUGAGGAGCGAAAGCGUGGGGAGCGAACAGGCUUAGAUACCCUGGUAGUCCACGCUGUAAACGGUGGGUACUAGGUGUGGGGUCCAUUCCACGGGUUCCGUGCCGUAGCUAACGCUUUAAGUACCCCGCCUGGGGAGUACGGCCGCAAGGCUAAAACUCAAAGGAAUUGACGGGGUCCCGCACAAGCGGCGGAGCAUGCGGAUUAAUUCGAUGCAACGCGUAGAACCUUACCUGGGUUUGACAUGGAUCGGGAGUGCUCAGAGAUGGGUGUGCCUCUUUUGGGGUCGGUUCACAGGUGGUGCAUGGCUGUCGUCAGCUCGUGUCGUGAGAUGUUGGGUUAAGUCCCGCAACGAGCGCAACCCUUGUUCACUGUUGCCAGCACGUUAUGGUGGGGACUCAGUGGAGACCGCCGGGGUCAACUCGGAGGAAGGUGGGGAUGACGUCAAGUCAUCAUGCCCCUUAUGUCCAGGGCUUCACGCAUGCUACAAUGGCUGGUACAGAGAGUGGCGAGCCUGUGAGGGUGAGCGAAUCUCGGAAAGCCGGUCUCAGUUCGGAUUGGGGUCUGCAACUCGACCUCAUGAAGUCGGAGUCGCUAGUAAUCGCAGAUCAGCAACGCUGCGGUGAAUACGUUCCCGGGGCU
rnacentral:rRNA from 1 species